AGGACUUGAAAAACAGAUUAUGAAGACUGGUCACUCUAGGUUUCUCCUGUAACACAAGGCUCAUAUUUUUCAUGGAAGAAGUGGAUUAUUUAUUGGUGAACACUGGCACCUGCAAACUUUCAGCAUCAACGACAGAGCCAGAUUGUCUCCAGAGCUUCAUCUUCCCGGGGUCUCGAAUUGGUAAUCAAUACAGAGAAUAUUGCAAACACAAUUUAGGAGAGGUGAAACAGGUUUUGUGUGGAAAAAGAAACAAGUUAUGGGAAGACGAUGUACAGAGAAACCUUCCACUGGAAAAUGUUUCUAAUGCAACAAAUUUAGAAGUGUUUUGACAAGCAACUGCCUCUGAUGUCUCCUCUCUGCUCCUCGCACAGACUGCUUCUCCUAUUAAGGAAUUGUGCUCUUUCCCAUGUGAAGUCACAUACCAGAAUCAACAGGGAAAGGACUGAAGAGACAAAGUUACAGAAGACUGCAAUCUUCUCCAUAAUGCAGUGCAUACACCAAUUUUUUUUUACAAGUUUCAAAUAUUCAUAAGCAUUCUUGGAUGAGGACACGAAAGUACUAAGGCGCUGUAAAUAUUUUAUUUAAAAGCGAGGAGUAAAGUAAAAUCAUGUGCAGUAUUCAGUGCUGAUUUUAAAAGAUUUGGAUGGGUCAGGCCCCAAAUGUAUCAGAGCAAAGAACACAUGGGAGUGUAUAUUUCCAGGAAAAUAGCUAAGAGCUUUACACCUUUCUUCAGUAAAAGACCUUUCUAUAAAAGUCGAAGAAUUGUGAAUGCACUAAAUAAUAAUUAAUUUUCCACAUUU